CCUACGGGUGGCAGCAGUGGGGAAUAUUGGACAAUGGGCGAAAGCCUGAUCCAGCCAUGCCGCGUGUGUGAAGAAGGCCUUCGGGUUGUAAAGCACUUUCAGUGGGGAAGAAAGCCUUGGGGCUAAUACCCUCGAGGAAGGACAUCACCCACAGAAGAAGCACCGGCUAACUCCGUGCCAGCAGCUGCGGUAAUACGGAGGGUGCGAGCGUUAAUCGGAAUUACUGGGCGUAAAGCGCGCGUAGGCGGUCUGAUAAGCCGGUUGUGAAAGCCCCGGGCUCAACCUGGGAACGGCAUCCGGAACUGUCAGGCUAGAGUGCAGGAGAGGAAGGUAGAAUUCCCGGUGUAGCGGUGAAAUGCGUAGAGAUCGGGAGGAAUACCAGUGGCGAAGGCGGCCUUCUGGACUGACACUGACGCUGAGGUGCGAAAGCGUGGGUAGCAAACAGGAUUAGAUACCCGGGUAGUC
rnacentral:rRNA from 1 species